CCUACGGGUGGCAGCAGUAGGGAAUCUUUCACAAUGGGCGAAAGCCUGAUGGAGCAACGCCGCGUGCAGGAUGGAGGCCUUCGGGUUGUAAACUGCUUUUAUAAGCGAGACAUAUGAUGGUAACUUAUGAAUAAGGAUCGGCUAACUACGUGCCAGCAGCCGCGGUCAUACGUAGGAUCCGAGCAUUAUCCGGAUUGACUGGGUGUAAAGAGUUGCGUAGGUGGCAUAAUAAGUAGCUAGUGAAAUCUGGUGGCUCAACCAUUCAGACUAUUAGCUAAACUGUUAAGCUCGAGACCGUUAGGGGUAACUGGAAUUUCUAGUGUAGGAGUGAAAUCCGUAGAUAUUAGAAGGAACACCAAUAGCGUAGGCAGGUUGCUGGGACGGUUCUGACACUAAGGCACGAAAGCGUAGGGAGCAAACGGGAUUAGAUACCCGGGUAGUC
rnacentral:rRNA from 1 species